UAAUUCCGUGCCAGCAGCCGCGGUAAUACGGAAGGUGCAAGCGUUAUCCGGUUUUAUUGGGUUUAAAGGGUGCGUAGGCGGCUUAUUAAGUCAGUAGUGAAAUCCUAGUGCUUAACGCUAGAACUGCAAUUGAUACUAUUAGGCUUGAGUUAAGAAGAGGUAAGCAGAAUUUAUGGUGUAGUAGUGAAAUGCUUAGAUAUCAUAAGGAAUACCAAUAGCGUAGGCAGCUUACUGGUCUUUAACUGACGCUGAGGCACGAAAGCGUGGGGAGCAAACAGGAUUAGAUACCCUGGUAGUCCACGCCGUAAACGAUGAUCACUCGAUAUGCAUGAAACUUCGUGUGUGUCUAAG
rnacentral:rRNA from 1 species